CUUCUCUUGGGAGCGAGUAGCGGACAUGAGGGAACAAUACCCAUACUUGUUUGAGUAAUGAAGGUGACACGAUGGGAAAACCUUCUUAUGGAAGAGGAGCUGGGCGAGGUUUCCGUGGCCAGCAAUUUGUACCAUACUCAUCAAGAGCACGCCGACCACGAGGAGUUCGUAUCACUUCAUACCACGGCCCUCCAAAUCAAGAUCAUGAGUCAGGCUCGGAUGACUCAACUCAGCCUCCGAGUCAUCCAUGGAAGCCUCCAUGUCCCAUUCCGAUGCCCCCACCCGAACUGAGUAGAGAACCCUCACCUGUAAGAGAACCCCCACCUAACGGGGACAAUAUUAUUACGGUUGUGACCCCACUUAAUGGAGACAAUAUUGGUACGGUUGUGACCCUACCCAACAGAGACAAUAUCAAUGCGACUGCCCCCACAAUGCCUACCUCGAACAGUGUAUAGCCCAAACGGAAACGUGGACCAGCUAAGUGUAUUGCAUUUGAGAUGUUGAGAAAGCAAGGAAAAGUGUUUCUGAAGAUUAAUGACGGUGAAACUACACCGUGUUGUACGAACUCAUCCAUGUUCACUGCACAGGUAAUGCAAAUAAUUAAAAAACAUUGCGACAUGAGCUAUGCGAGAUAGACCGAUGUGCCACAGGCACAAAAGGACAAGUUGAUCGACUGUGUGAGGGGUGACUUCGUGUUGGAUUGGGAUCGGGAGAAUCACAAGUUGACCGUCUUAAAGCAGCUGCGUAAGAGGUUUAAUGCAUUCCAUCACCAAUUACACAGAAAAUAUGAAUCACAUGGAAGCCACGAAGAAGUAUUGGCUUCUGGUUGUCCAACGGUCAACUUGAAUGUUUGGAUUACCUUGUGUCAGAGGUGGGGAAGCGAGGAAUUCAAGAAAAUGUCAAGGCAAAAUCGGGAGAAUAGAAAGGCACAAACCAUCAACCACACAGCAGGCCGAAAAUCCUUUGUUAAGAUUUUGGAGGAGAAGGCUGCAAAUGCGGAUUUGGUGGAAUUCUAUAAGGAAACUCAUUGGUCAAAGAAGAUCGGCAAAUUUGUCACCGCAACAACUGAAGCCAUCUAUGAGAUGGUUGGGAAGCUGGAUGGUCUCAAGCCUAGGCAACAAACCAAUGAUGCAGUAGCAAGUGUAUUUAGGGAGGUCCUUGGCUCUAGACUAGGAUAUGCAAGGGGGCUAGGAGAGAUGGUCAUCCCAGAGUCGACACGACAACGGGACAACCAAAGAGAAAAACAGUACCUUGCCUUGAUUGAAAAGCACAAGCAAGAUGCCGAUAAUUACAAGAAGGAUGCUGAGAAUUACCGGAAAGAUGCCAACAAGUACAAGACACAGCUUGAUGCAAUUCAGGAAGAAGUACUGAAACUUCGUGAGAGACAAAAUGAAACUGAUUUGUUGAUGAGGGCAUUCUUCCAGAAUUUCCAUACACACAUGGAGUCUCAGCAGUCUCGUGGAGAGACUUCAUGAUGGUCUUGUAAAGAAAUAAUGAGCUGGACUUUUUUGAGUAGUUUGAGCACUUUUUGGUAUUGGGAGAUAGUGAGUGGCCAAUAUAUAAACUAUAUAUAUAUAUAUAUGUGUGUGUGCAUUUGUGACACACACACACACACACACACACACACAUAUAUAUAUAUAAAGAGGAAGGUUGAAAACAUUUUGUAUUGUGUCGAAGGGACCUGAACGAGGAUUUGGGAUUUUUUGGUGUUGACUGUAUGAAUGUUGUUGUUCACCAAGGAUGUGAAUGGCAUGGGCGAAAAAGGAUGUUGCGUGACAAUACACAGCAAUUAUGUGAAAGAUUAAUGGUCAGUGCAGUCUUCAGAAAAUAUUUAUGGAAGUUAAGAAAGAUGAUGCUUGAUUUGCAGCACUUCGAAUAUAUCUUGCAUCCAUAUCAUUUGGAGUGACCGGGGUCUCAUAUCUCUUGAGGAGAAGUUUGUGACACAAGUGAAUGAAGCCCGUAUCAGUUUUGAGAUAGCGGAAUUGCAACAAAUCUAACGUCCAACUUCUUUUCCGUAAGGGUAGUGUUUGUUAAUAGGAAAGUCACUACUAUAAGCUACUAACAUCUCAUUGUACAUGCCAACAUGUGAAGUUCCAAGAAGCCAUUACUCUAGCUGAUGGUAGCAUGAAACUUGUUGAUUCCAUGGAGGGAAUUGUAAAGAGCAGUCAACGGGUUGGAGUUGGAGAGAGAGGCGUUGCAAAAUGCGACAAUGAAUUCCCCCCACAUGAAGCAGUUGUGUUGAAGUUGUUCUAGCCUGAUCUACAAUUCCCAGGUGCACAUGGUCUAGAUAUCAUUUUUAAAUAUAAAAGAGCAGGACAUUGUGAAAUAUCUAAAAGAAUGUAGUGACGGUUUUAUCUAAUGUUUAGAAGCAACAAUGUAUUCUAUUUAUUUAGUAGUUUGUAAGUUGUAGGUUCUUGGUUCAAUUCAUCAGUGCAGUUGCUAUUGGGUUUUGGA